AGAUGGCUAAACUCAAACUAAAACAUUGGAUCAUAAUAUGCGCUGUCAUAGUAACACUGUUCCUUAUUCAUACACAAGGUUGGUAACUGUAGAAUAAAGACAAUAUUUGCAUUAAUAUAUCUGCUAAUCAAGAGGUAAAUAAUAUGUCUUUUUCAGUUAUAAGACAAAGCAAGUUGAUCCGAACAGAAAAACGAGAGCUCCUGGUGUCAACAGGUAACCAAUCAGAGUCUCUUAUGGAGGAUAAGCACCAAUCAGAAACAAUCGUAUGAACAGGACAGAGCUCUCGAAGUACAGAUACACAUAUGAAGGCUGUUAAGUGCAUGAAUCAUUGCAAUCUUUGUAUAUGAAGGGUUUAAAAUGCUUUUACUUGGUCAGGCAUUUAGUCCUAAUGAUUAGGUGCAUGUGAAAUGAUGAAUGUGGUGGUUAAACCUGGUAAUGAGGCUCAUGUGUACAGGGUCUACUUCUGUGUAUGUGAUUUAGGAGGAUUUUACAGGGCUGUAAAGAAUGGUUUGCAGAUUGAUAAAUAAAUUUAGCAAGGUAUAAAUCAGUGUAAUCUUCAUUUACCCAGAGAUCCCAGCUGAGCACAUUGACCCCGCCUCCAUAGAUCUUACUGGACUCGUCAACACACUCAUCAAUGCUUCACAACAAGGUUCACAGCAUCUUUUCUCCUUACUCAGUGUGACAUCACACAGUUCACUCUCUCUCCACAAGCUCACGCUGCUGGUCUACAAUAGUAACUACCCUUAUCCACACAGCCAAAUCACACUGUAACUACAGCACUAAUACUGCACAAAUAUGAUGUAAUUCUGUGUGUGUUUGCAUGCGUGUAUCUGUGUGUCAUGUACACAUGUAUGGGUGUGUGUAGUCUCAGACUUUCAGGACAUUGAGAGCAGUUUAUUUCCAUUAAGAUACUGUUACUGUCUGACAAACAAGACCAAUGACCUCACAGAUUUCACAGCUAUUCUGUUGGAUGUAAUGGGAAACUCCACCAGUUACCUGCAAGAACUAUUUAAGUCCAGCUCUAUCCUCUCAGUCAGUCAGAAGAACAGCUCUGAUUGCAUCUAUAUCUGUGUCAUGGCUGGAAAGUCAGACAGUGAUCUGUCUCAGCUCUGGGACAUGGGCUCAGUCAGACCUCUGUUUAAUCAGACCAUCACAGAGGAAAUACCCAGAGGUAAUGUGACAUUUCCAUUGCUGCCCUUUGUAGUGUGGCAUGACCUCCCAAACACUAGUGAACUGGUACUAUGGCCUAAACCCAGUACAGAUUCCCACAGGAGCAGAGUACCUACCUCUACAAUAACAUCAACACCACUUAUUAGAUCAACAGCAGCUCCUGAAACUACCUUCACUGUGACGACCACCACAACCUCACCCACUAGUGAUCUCACAACUGCUGUGAUCACCCAGCCAAAAGCUGUAACGGUAACCACAAAUGCCAUCACUCCAAUGAUGACCAUGACAGUUUCACCGCCAACGCAGAGACAAACAACUACGACAGGCAUCCAGCUGCUCACUAAAGUAUCUCAUACAGAAAAACCAGGAUGUCCAUGGAGAAUAGAGCUAUUUCAUCAAGCAAGUGAGAAUGAGGACCUGAAAGAGACCCUUGAAGAGGAGCUGAUCUGGGGCAGGGCGACCAUCAGCUCAGUGAAGCUGCAGCCGUGUGUGUUUGAGCUGUGCAAGUUUUACUCUCAAUGUGUGUGCAGAGGAUUCAGUCACAGAGCAGCAGAGUUACAGCGAUAUUGUGUGGAUAGCCAUCGCUGGUAUGAGAGACAUACAGCAGAGGUCUGCAGUCGUAUGAGGAGAGUCACUUUUUCCAAAAAUCUGAAACAGAAAUGUCUGGCAAGAAUGUGUGUGAAGAUGUAAGACAAGAACUGAGUUCAUUUGCGGGGUGACAGACAUCUGAACCACCUGAACUAAAAUUUAUGUACAGUAUGUUUGAGAGAAACUGGGUUCUGUUAAAUACUGAACUGCAUUGUCUUCAUUGAAUCUGUAUAGUCUAUGCAUCUAGUGUCUAAAUUGCACUUCUGAAUAUAAAUAAAACCAAACAUAUUUACCCA
ensembl:lncRNA